rnacentral:tRNA from 1 species
GUUUUAGUAGUUUACAAUAAAACUUUGGUCUUGUAAGUCAAAAAUAAGGAAUAUUCCUUCUAGAACU